rnacentral:rRNA from 1 species
UACGUAGGUGGCAAGCGUUGUCCGGAAUUAUUGGGCGUAAAGCGCGCGCAGGCGGUCCUUUAAGUCUGAUGUGAAAGCCCACGGCUCAACCGUGGAGGGUCAUUGGAAACUAGCGGGCUUGAGUUCGGGAGAGGGAAGCGGAAUUCCGGGUGUAGCGGUGAAAUGCGUAGAUAUCCGGAGGAACACCGGUGGCGAAGGCGGCUUCCUGGACCGACACUGACGCUGAGGCGCGAAAGCUAGGGGAGCAAACGGG